CGUGUUGUUUUAUGAAUAAAUUGAAAUGUAUAUACUAUAUUAAUAACCACAUACACAUGUACGUCCAAUGAAUCCUUACACCGCAGUACAUACAUGUACACCAUAAAGUGGGCUUUGUAUACGUACAUGUAGCAUACAUAAAUGCAGCUCAAUAAUGUGAAAUGAAACCUUAUAUUUAAUGUCUUUUGUAAGGAGAGUACCACGUGGAGAAUCCUGGCAACAAAGCACUGAAAGAUCAGUGUUGUCUGUUACAAAACGAAAUCUUCUUUUCUAUGUCCCUGUUUCAGAUUUUACAACCUAUUUAUAAUACGUAUUUGUUUUCGAUUUGAAGAUGCAUCCAUACUUAGCAAAAAAAAUACAGUAUAUCAUUAAACUAGGACUAUGUACUGUUUGGUCACUGAGAACUUCAUAAAACACCAAUGGAAGUGUUUCUCAUUUUGAAUUUCUUUUUAAAAUUAGCUACAAUAAGCGUAAAAGAGGGACGAAAGAUACCAAAGGGACAGUCAAACUCAUAAAUCUAAAACAAACUGACAACGCCAUGGCUAAAAAUGAAAAAGACAAACAGAAAAACAAUAGUACACAUGACACAACAUAGAAAACUAAAGAAUAAACAACACAAACCCCAC
rnacentral:lncRNA from 1 species